rnacentral:rRNA from 1 species
UACGUAGGGUGCGAGCGUUGUCCGGAAUUAUUGGGCGUAAAGGGCUCGUAGGCGGUUUGUCGCGUCGGGAGUGAAAACAUCGGGCUUAACUCGAUGCUUGCUUUCGAUACGGGCAGACUUGAGGUAUGCAGGGGAGAAUGGAAUUCCUGGUGUAGCGGUGAAAUGCGCAGAUAUCGUUUGGAACGCCAACGGUGAAAACAGCUCGCUGGGGGUGUGCUGACGCUGAGACACGAAAGCCAGGGGAGCGAACGGG